GACACGCCCCCCGCUUGGCCACGCCCCCGCGGCAGUCUCGGUGCCGCCGCCAUGGCGGAGCUGCCGGUUCGGGCCCCGCGGGCCGCUGCUGCCGCUGCUCCCGGUUCUUUUGGGGGUGUUGCUGCCCCCUGCGGGCUCCCGAGGGCCGCCCGGGCCUGAGCAGCUGCUGGUGCUGACGGUGGCGACCGAGGCGACCGACGGGUACGAGCGGUUCCUGCGCUCGGCAAAGCGCUUCAACUACAGCGUGCAGACGCUGGGGCUGGGCCAGGCCUGGCGGGGGGGGGACGUGGCGCACACGGUCGGGGGGGGACAGAAGGUUCGGUGGCUCAAGAGCGCGAUGUCCCCACUGAGGACACGGCAGGACCUGCUGGUGCUGUUUGUGGACAGGUGACGGGGACAGGGGA